GAUGAACGCUGGCGGCGUGCUUAACACAUGCAAGUCGAACGAUGAAGCCCAGCUUGCUGGGUGGAUUAGUGGCGAACGGGUGAGUAACACGUGAGUAACCUGCCCUUAACUCUGGGAUAAGCCUGGUAAACUGGGUCUAAUACCGGAUAGGAGCGUCCACCGCAUGGUGGGUGUUGGAAAGAUUUAUCGGUUUUGGAUGGACUCGCGGCCUAUCAGCUUGUUGGUGAGGUAAUGGCUCACGAAGGCGAAGACGGGUAGCCGGCCUGGGAGGGUGACCGGCCACACUGGGACUGCGGCACGGCGCAGACUCCUACGGGAGGCAGAGGUGGGGAAUAUUGCACAAUGGGCGCAAGCCUGAUGCAGCGACGCCGCGUGAGGGAUGACGGCCUUCGGGUUGUAAACCUCUUUCAGUAGGGAAGAAGCGAAAGUGACGGUACCUGCAGAAGAAGCACCGGCUAACUACGUG
rnacentral:rRNA from 1 species